rnacentral:rRNA from 1 species
UAUGGUAUAACUUAGUGGCAGACGGGUGAGUAAUGUAUAGGAAUCUACCUAGUAGUACGGAAUAAUURUUGGAAACGGCAACUAAUACCGUAUACGCCCUACGGGGGAAAGAUUUAUCGCUAUUAGAUGAGCCUAUAUUAGAUUAGCUAGUUGGUAAGGUAAUGGCUUACCAAGGCAAUGAUCUAUAGCUGAUCUGAGAGGAUGAUCAGCCACACUGGAACUGAGAUACGGUCCAGACUCCUACGGGAGGCAGCAGUGGGGAAUAUUGGACAAUGGGCGAAAGCCUGAUCCAGCCAUGCCGCAUGAGUGAAGAAGGCCUUUGGGUUGUAAAGCUCUUUCGGUGAGGAAGAUAAUGACGGUACUCACAGAAGAAGUCCUGGCUAACUCCGUGCCAGCAGCCGCGGUAAUACGGAGAGGGCUAGCGUUAUUCGGAAUUAUUGGGCGUAAAGAGCGCGUAGGCUGGUUAGUAAGUUAAAAGUGAAAUCCCAAAGCUCAACUUUGGAAUUGCUUUUAAAACUGCUAACCUAGAGAUUGAAAGAGGAUAGAGGAAUUCCUAGUGUAGAGGUGAAAUUCGUAAAUAUUAGGAGGAACACCAGUGGCGAAGGCGUCUAUCUGGUUCAAAUCUGACGCUGAGGCGCGAAGGCGUGGGGAGCAAACAGGAUUAGAUACCCUGGUAGUCCACGCUGUAAACGAUGAAUGUUAAAUAUGGGAAGUUUACUUUCUGUAUUACAGCUAACGCGUUAAACAUUCCGCCUGGGGACUACGGUCGCAAGAUUAAAACUCAAAGGAAUUGACGGGGACCCGCACAAGCGGUGGAGCAUGUGGUUUAAUUCGAUGCAACGCGAAAAACCUUACCACUCCUUGACAUGAAAU